rnacentral:rRNA from 1 species
AUGUUUUUCUUCAAUUUACUCAGGAAAAAAUCGGGAAAAUCCAAUAGCACAAGGAGGAAGAAGCAAAAAGAAGAGACAGAGUCAGAUACAGAAGAAGAGACAGAGGCAGAUACAGAAGAAGAGACAGAGGAAGAUACAGAAGAAGAGGAAGAUUCAGAUACAGAAGAAGAGGAAGAUUCAGAUGCAGAAGAAGAGGGAGAUUCAGAUGCAGAAGAAGAGGUAGAUUCAGAUGCGGAAGAAGAGGAAGAUUCAGAUGCAGAAGAUAGUGGGCUGAGGAGGGCUAGGAAGAGACCAUUGGAGGUUGUAGAAGAGGAUUACGCAAAACCAAACAAGAAACGCAAGGACGCUCCAAAUGUCAAUGCUGGGAGGAAGAAAAAGAACGAUGACAAGGGUGCACGAGGAAAACCAGUGAAGAAAGACUCUAGGAAGGGCGGUAAAGAACAUGCCAAAGGGGUGAUGAAGACAAAGAGGCCCGCUAGGAAUGUACCAUAA